rnacentral:rRNA from 1 species
AUUGAACGCUGGCGGCAGGACUAACACAUGCAAGUCGAGCGAGCGGCGGACGGGUGCGUAAUGUAUGGGGACUGCCCGAUAGAGGGGGAUAACUACUGGCCACGGUAGCUAAUACCGCAUACUAUCGGAUAACCCAUAUGGGAUUAGCUAGUAGGUGGGGUAAUGGCUCACCUAGGCGACGAUGCCUAGCUGGACUGAGAGUAUGAUCAGCCAGACUUGGACUGAGACACGGCCCAGACUCCUGCGGAGUCAGCAGUGGGGAAUAUUGCACAAUGGGCGCAAGCCUGAUGCAGCCAUGCCGCGUGUAUGAAGAAGGCCCUAGGGUUGUAAAGUACUUUCAGUCGGGAGGCGUUACCUACAGACGAAGCACCGGCUAACUCCGUGCCAGCAGCCGCGGUAAGAC